ACCUGAACUAGCUAAUCUAGAUAAUUACAGACAGGUGUGUUGGAGCAGUGUUGGAACUGAAGUCUGCAGGAUGGUGGCUCUCCAGGAGAACGCCAGAACUUCAGACUGAUGGCAGAAAGUCUGGGAGUCAUGGAUGCUUUGAAUGGCCAAGGACCACCCAAGUGACCAUAUGAUUGACAGUGCCUGAGGUACUCAAUGCAGAGAUCAAAGUGACAUUUAAAAUGCCCUGCAGGCAGCCAUGGGCAGGGAGAUGUCACACAACUGCGAGAGAAUGACAGCGAGAGAUUGUCACAGAUACAGACUAAAACGAAUGAGGGAGACAGACCAGAAGAGUAAAGAAAGGUGGAAGUUUUUUUUUUUUUUUUGCAUUUGCAUUUGCAUUUUGCUUUUUUACUUAAAUUUAUAUAUUCAGGAUUGUGG
ensembl:lncRNA